rnacentral:rRNA from 1 species
GAGGCGAACCGGGGGAACUGAAACAUCUAAGUACCCCGAGGAAAAGAAAUCAACCGAGAUUCCGAAAGUAGCGGCGAGCGAAAUUGGACUAGCCCUUAAGCUUUACACGCGUUAGACGAACGGUCUGGAAAGUCCGACGAUACAGGGUGAUAGUCCCGUAGUUGACGACGUGUGUUCAGUGAAAUCGAGUAGGGCGGGACACGUGAUAUCCUGUCUGAAUAUGGGGGGACCAUCCUGAAAUAGAACCUGAAACCGUGUACGUACAAGCAGUAGGAGCACCUUCGUGGUGUGACUGCGUACCUUUUGUAUAAUGGGUCAGCGACUUAUAUUCAGUGGCAAGGUUAACCAUCUAGGGGAGCCGUAGGGAAACCGAGUCUUAACUGGGCGUUCAGUCUCUGGAUAUAGACCCGAAACCAGGUGAUCUAGCCAUGGGCAGGUUGAAGGUUGAGUAACAUCAACUGGAGGACCGAACCGACUAAUGUUGAAAAAUUAGCGGAUGACUUGUGGCUAGGGGUGAAAGGCCAAUCAAACCUGGAGAUAGCUGGUUCUCCCCGAAAGCUAUUUAGGUAGCGCCUCGGACGAAUACUACUGGGGGUAGAGCACUGUUAAGGCUAGGGGGUCAUCCCGACUUACCAACCCUUUGCAAACUCCGAAUACCAGUAAGUACUAUCCGGGAGACACACGGCGGGUGCUAACGUCCGUCGUGGAGAGGGAAACAACCCAGACCGCCAGCUAAGGUCCCAAAUUACUACUAAGUGGGAAACGAUGUGGGAAGGCUCAGACAGCCAGGAUGUUGGCUUAGAAGCAGCCAUCAUUUAAAGAAAGCGUAAUAGCUCACUGGUCGAGUCGGCCUGCG